UACGUAUGGUGCGAACGUUGUUCGGAAUCACUGGGCAUAAAGAGCACGUAGGCGGCCGAGCAAGUCUGUUGUGAAAUCCCCCGGCUUAACCGGGGAACUGCAGUAGAUACUACUCGGCUUGAGUGCAGGAGGGGAGAGUGGAAUUCCAGGUGGAGCGGUGAAAUGCGUAGAUAUCUGGAGGAACGCCGGCGGCGAAAGCGACUCUCUGGUCUGCAACUGACGCUGAGGUGCGAAAGCUAGGGGAGCAAACGGG
rnacentral:rRNA from 1 species